CCUUUCCUGGCUGCUUGUCAUGCAAUUUCCUCCUGGGAAAGCCAUGGAUGCAUUCAGCCAGCCUGAUGUAUCGAGUUGCUGCUUGUACAGAAAAAGAUACCGUGUCUCUUGGUGUUCAGCAGAGAAAAGGAAACCCCUGUCAGGGAGACGGGACUUGGAGGAUUCAUGGAGAUGGAGAGGUCAACAGCAACACAGCGGACUCCUAUGAGGAACAUUGACUUGAUGGACUUUGCUUGUGGGGGUGCAGGGUCAGAAGUUAAACCCAGAGAGGUGCAGAAAGAAGAAAGCAAACUGCAGGUCCAUUCUGGAUUGAGCUAGCCCGAUACUGUCUGCUGAGAAGACAGAAUUGAAGCACAAACUCCUGUGAGGAGGUUACUAUUGCAAAUUAAACCCCACGAGAGGUGGGAGAGUCAUAUUCUGCUCAGCAUUGCCUCUCCCUCAAGAGCAUUUCAGCUUCUCCUGCUCAGAAAUCCACGGUAACUGCGAGCCAAGACCAUGUCGCUGUCAAGACAUGGGUUUAUCAGGAGGCACCAGGAGCUUUUGUCUCCUUGCUUCUUGCCACAGAACUGCCAACUCCUGAUUUUCUGCUGCCCUGCGAGGCUGAAGGGGAGGACUCUGCAACAGCCAGCAGCAUGCAUGCCCAGCCAUGACCUGACAUUUUGACCUGAAACUAUCCUUGUUGGUCCUUUGCUCUGGGAGGCCAUCCCUAAGUGGUCUUAGCCACUGACCUGGAAGGUGGCGGGAUGAAGAGCACCCUGUUCUGAACCCAGCAGCUCCCCAGAGGCACAAAGCAAUGCCCUGGGAAGGUGUCUCCUCCAAGGUCAGGCUGCUGACUAUUUCAUGCCCUGCAUAACUCGCAGGCACCGAAGACUAAAUACUUGGUUUUUGAAUGGAAAACAAUGUACUUGCAUUUCCCAAGUGAUUCCAAUGGCCGGCAGCAUGUCCAGCAUGAUCAGGCCUUGCUAAUGAUGAGAACUGCGCUCCAAAUUUAGCUCUAAUUUAAUCAAAGUAAAAUUGCCUCUGGGCAGUUCGUUGGAGGGAAACUGAGGUGGUACGAGUUACUAAGAGUCUGUGCUAGCCCCAUGCUAGCUCCCAGGAGGUUAAGUUUCACAUCACUCCUGCUUUCUCUGAAGUCAGCAGGUUUAUGAUAAGGCUGGAUUAGAUGUUUCUCCUGCUGCAGUUCACUUUAUUCAGGUACUCUCAAGCCUGGCUUCAAUGUCCUCUUUGAGUCAGAAGAACUGCUGGGAGGACUUUGCAGCACUAGAUGUAACUGUAGAUUUACUCUGGUGUUGAAAAGCCACACAGCUAUAUCCAGGGCUCCUCAGACAGAGAAAGCUGCUGUCUUAGGUGGAAUUUGGGUGCAAAUAGCAAAAAGAAAUUAUUUUAAAAAACCCAAAAAUCCACUUUAUCUGGAUAGUCCAUCUCUGUGACGGAAAAAUCUUCUAGCAGAAAAAGGGCUCUGUUGAUUUAAGAGUGAUGUGUAUAUGUUGCUUUUGAAACUGCCAGCGUAACAGGUUAAGAUGAAAUGAAUAGGCACGUUUCAGAGCUGGGAGGAGUGCUCUGUGACAUCCUCUGAGACUGGCAAGACCCCGUCUUUGCCCUGGAAAUGUUCCAGUCUAAACAUGGACUAAUGCCGUGAACAUUGUGAGAGGAGAAAGGGGCAAAGGAGGAUUAAGAACUACCUUUGGAGUAAAGCCUACGAGUUUCUAAUGCCUUUUGAUUGAGACCGAGGCCUGUUAAGAUGGAGCAGGCAGCCUGGAAGUCGGGUUCAACAGAGAAAAGCCGGAUUUGGAGCCAAACAGCUACAGGUGCUUGGCUCGUGGGCAGAGGGAAGGUGUUACCAGUGUAGCAAUACUCUGAAGAGCACUGGCAGUGGGAGGGACAUUUCUGAAACGUAGCCCAGAUGUACAUGUCGGAGAGUGCCAAAAGCUCUCGGGUCUAGAAGUUACGGGGGAUGUGAAGAUGCUGGGGUGUAAUCUAGCAUCAGGUGACAGUGUGGGAACUUGGUUUCCUUCACCCGUGCUGCCGUUGCUGGAACAGCAGACAGUGGGUUUGCCGAGGUUGCAGCAAUGCACAGCUAAUGAAAAUGUAGAAGCUGCGCAGCACUGGCUUGCAAGAAACAGUAAAGGUAGCAGCAGGGGGUUGCGCAGUAUGGGGCGCGAUGAAGCAUGUCCUGUGUCCUAUCUCAGUAUGAACUGAUAAUUUCUCUAAAACCUGCCUGUUUCAAGGGUGGCUUUUGUCUCUCUUCUUUCUCCCUCACUCAUCAUCCUGGAAGAGAAAGGAAGCAUUUUUCUAAUUAACAUGAAUUAGUAUUUACUUAAUGUCUGGAGUAAGGAGCCAAGCGUGCUCCGCAUUUGCCACUAGUGUGAGGCAGACCUUUUUCCCAUACUGGACAUCAGACAGUCAUUUCACACUGGCCAUCAACUUGGUGGCCAAACAGCAGCAGUUUCUUGGCAACUGCGUGGGGACACUGUGGCUCAGGGAGGGGAGCAAAGAGGCUCUGGUUUCUAUUCUGAACCAUUUUGGUUGUCCAGUCCCUCCUUCGUCGUUAGUUGACCUUUUUAAAUUUGGCAGAGGAACAAAAUGGAGCACUCUUGGGAAGCAGCCCUGCAUCACCGGCUGUCCCCUGGCGAGGACACGACGAGCCAGACCAGGCACUUUGCUCUUGAGGCUUUCAUCGCACUUACACUCCCCAGCGGCAACAUCUUUUGUUGGUGGCCAAGAACUGGAGUAAGCACAGAGCCGGUCCCUGGCUUUUUCUCUCCCCUUGCACACUCAGGGUGUGUUUGAGAGGGGGUAGGGCAGUGCCUCGGCAACUGUGAAAUGGGAAAAGUAACUUUUGGGAAAGAAUCCAUGAUCCUUAAAGCCACGUGGUUGUUUCAGAUGGAACCCACACCCAGAUAAUGCUCAACUUGGCAUGUAGUAGAAGAGGGGUGCUCUUACCAUUGGGCUGGGGGGAAGGAUGGCUACGCUGAGCAAAGUUGCUCUUCCAGUUCCUGCGUGGAUCAUGGCUUCACCAGUAAAUGGUGGAGAGGGGGAGCAGGCCAGAAUGGGUGGACGGUCACAUCCAUGUCCUGUCGCCCCACCUUAUCGUGGCAUUGUGUUGAGAGGAACUGCCCCAUUCGCCUCAAGGACCAGUGCCUGUGCUAUGAUGAGGUGGUUUGGGAUACAGCUCAUGCAGCAGGAAUAGACACCAUGAAUGGGGCAGGAACGUGGCCCGGUGCACUGUAGACCCUGAUGGUUGUAUUUUGGACUUGAUGCCUUGUGUAGCUGAGCUGGAUAAAUGCUUCACCUGCUUCUUCUGGACAGGCAGAGAAAUUGUCUGUCCCUUCCUCUUAUACCCUCAAGUUCUCACUUCACACUAUAAGCACUGAUCAGUGAAAAGAUGGAAAGUGAACUCCUCAUUUUAGAGUGGCUUUGAUGGUAUUAGCAAGCAGCAAUAUUUCCUUUUAAUAUGCUUAGAGGACUCUGAAAAUGAUAAAAAAUAAGACCAAGUGUUGCCUUUUUUUAUAUAAAAAAAAGCUAAUCAUUUAAUCAUUUUAAAAUGACUCUCUACAAGAUAAACUGUAAUACAGGCUUGCAAUAAAGGUUCUCCUUUUGAAAGCACAAACUAUCAACGAAACCACUAAGCUUCAAAACACUUUUUCACUUUCUAAAAAUCUACAGUGAAAAAAAUGGACACAGAAAUCCAAAAGAAUCCCAAACAACACUAGUACAAAACAGGUUCACGCGGAUUGCUUUUUGGCAACUGGCUAUCGGUUACAAUAGCAUAACUGCCCUUUCUGGAUGUUACGCCAGAGCCGAGCCCUGGAGCGGAUUCUAGGCUAGCUGAGGUUGUGCUGGCUCCCGCUGUCCUUCCAGGAACAGCCUACAGACCCUGGAAGCGACAUUAUGGUAGCUAAGAGCGGUCUUUACUCUGAGACAAUACAUGAAGGCUACGAGAUUUCAUACACUGCUGAAAUGGUUUUGUUACCUAAGACAACAAAUCCCAUUUCAAUAAGGCACCUGUUCAGAUACAAACUGGGAAAGCAAAAAGUUAGGCAGAAGUACCUGUUUUCUAGGUGCUACUGAUCUCAUGACUGUGUAUGUACCAGUGAUCUGCUUGCUGAU